rnacentral:rRNA from 1 species
UACGUAGGUGGCAAGCGUUAUCCGGAAUUAUUGGGCGUAAAGCGCGCGCAGGCGGUUUCUUAAGUCUGAUGUGAAAGCCCACGGCUCAACCGUGGAGGGUCAUUGGAAACUGGGGAACUUGAGUGCAGAAGAGAAAAGCGGAAUUCCACGUGUAGCGGUGAAAUGCGUAGAGAUGUGGAGGAACACCAGUGGCGAAGGCGGCUUUUUUGGUCUGUAACUGACGCUGAGGCGCGAAAGCGUGGGGAGCAAACAGG